rnacentral:rRNA from 1 species
CCCGCACAAGCGGAGGAACAUGUGGUUUAAUCGAUGGUACGCGAGGAACCUUACCCGGGCUUGAAAUGCAUCUGACGUAGGCAGAGACGUCUAUUCCCUUCGGGGCAGAUGUGUAGGUGCUGCAUGGUUGUCGUCAGCUCGUGCCGUGAGGUGUCGGCUUAAGUGCCAUAACGAGCGCAACCCUCAUCAUUAGUUACCAACAGGUCAAGCUGGGGACUCUAGUGAGACUGCCAUCGUAAGAUGUGAGGAAGGUGGGGAUGACGUCAAAUCAGCACGGCCCUUACGUCCGGGGCGACACACGUGUUACAAUGGCCAGUACAAAGGGCAGCUACCGGGUGACCGGAUGCUAAUCUCUAAAGCUGGUCUCAGUUCGGAUCGAAGUCUGCAACCCGACUUCGUGAAGCUGGAUUCGCUAGUAAUCGCGCAUCAGCCAUGGCGCGGUGAAUACGUUCCCGGGCCUU